rnacentral:rRNA from 1 species
CCUACGGGAGGCAGCAGUGGGGAAUCUUGCGCAAUGGCCGAGAGGCUGACGCAGCGACGCCGCGUGGGGGAUGAAGCAUUUCGGUGUGUAAACCCCUGUUGCUCGGGACGAACGACCGGUUUCGACCGGUGUGACGGUACCGAGUGAGGAAGCACCGGCUAACUCCGUGCCAGCAGCCGCGGUAAUACGGAGGGUGCGAGCGUUGUCCGGAAUCACUGGGCGUAAAGGGCGCGUAGGUGGUUAGAUGCGCCGGUGGUGAAAGCGCAGGGCUCAACCCUGCGUCGGCCAUCGGGACGGUCUGACUGGAGCACUGUAGAGGCAGGUGGAAUUCCGGGUGUAGCGGUGGAAUGCGUAGAGAUCCGGAAGAACACCGGUGGCGAAGGCGGCCUGCUGGGCAGUUGCUGACACUGAGGCGCGACAGCGUGGGGAGCAAACAGGAUUAGAUACCCUGGUAGUCCACGCCGUAAACGAUGGGCACUAGGUGCUUGGGGGAGCGACCCCCUGAGUGCCGACGCUAACGCAUUAAGUGCCCCGCCUGGGGAGUACGACCGCAAGGUUGAAACUCAAGGAAUUGACGGCGUGAGCUCGACGAGCACGAGGAGGAGG